rnacentral:rRNA from 1 species
GAAUGGUUCAUUAUAUAAGUUAUCGUUUAUUUGAUAGCACACUUGUACUNGGAUAACCGUGGUAAUUCUAGAGCUAAUACAUGCACGAAAUCCCGACUUCGGAAGGGAUGUAUUUAUUAGAUUAAAAACCAAUGCCCUCUGGGNCUUGCUGGUGAUUCAUGAUAACUUCGCGAAUCGCAUGGCCUUGCGCCGGCGAUGGUUCAUUCAAAUCUCUUCCCUAUCAACUUUCGAUGCGAAGGUCUUGUCUUCGCAUGGUUACAACGGGUAACGGAGGGUUAGGGCUCGACCCCGGAGAAGGAGNCUGAGAGACGGCUACUACAUCCAAGGAAGGCAGGAGGCGCGCAAAUUACCCAAUCCCGACACGGGGAGGUAGUGACAAUAAAUACUGAUACAGGGCUCUUUUGGGUCUUGUAAUUGGAAUGAGUACAAUUUAAAUCCCUUAACGAGGAACAAUUGGAGGGCAAGUCUGGUGCCAGCAGCCGCGGUAAUUCCAGCUCCAAUAGCGUAUAUUAAAGUUGUUGUGGUUAAAAAGCUCGUAGUUGAACCUUGGGCCUGGCUGGCCGGUCCCCCUCACCGGGUGCACUGAUCCAGCCGGGCCUUUCCCUCUACGGAACCCCAUGGCCUUCACUGGCCGNGGGGGGGAAGUAGGACUUUUACUUUGAAAAAAUUAGAGUGCUCCAGGCAGGCCUAUGCUCGAAUACAUUAGCAUGGAAUAAUGGAAUAGGACGCGUGGUUCUAUUUNGUUGGUUUCUAGGACCGCCGUAAUGAUUAAUAGGGACAGNCGGGGGCAUCAGUAUUCAAUUGUCAGAGGUGAAAUUCUUGGAUCUAUUGAAGACUAACUACUGCGAAAGCAUUUGCCAAGGAUGUUUUCAUUGAUAAGGAACGAAAGUUAGGGGAUCGAAGACGAUCAGAUACCGGCGUAGUCUUAACUAUAAACUAUGCCGACUAGGGAUCGGACGAUGUUAUUACUUGACUCGCCCGGCACCUUUCGAGAAAUCAA